rnacentral:rRNA from 1 species
CUUGUUGGUCCUGGAUGGAGGGGGGGCAGCAACUGGCUGGGAACAAAGGCUGGUGCCUGACCAAGGCAGUUCCAGAUUGGUGAGUCAGGCCAAUGGUUGCUAUAGCAGAGUGGUGCCCACCGCUGCAAAGCCAUAGGAACUUCUGCCCUAUCAGCUGUUGAUGGUGAGAUAGUUGCUCACCAUUGCUAUGACAGGUAACAGAGAAUCAGGGUUUGAUUCUGGAGAGGGAGCCUGAGAAAUGGCUCCCACUGCCAAGGCAGGCAGCAGGCGCGGAAAUUGCCCAAUCCCAGCAUCCUGGGGAGGCAGCGAUGAAAAGUAGUAGCCUUGGCCCCCUGAAGGGGGUCAGAGUUUGUGCAAUGGAUGCAUUAUCCAAACCAAGCAAUGAGUAACAACUGGAGGGCAAGUCUGGUGCCAGCAGCCGCGGUAAUUCCAGCUCCAGUGGCAUAUGCCAAUAUG